UACGUAGGGUGCAAGCGUUGUCCGGAAUUAUUGGGCGUAAAGAGCUCGUAGGCGGUUUGUCGCGUCUGCUGUGAAAACUCGGGGCUUAACUCCGGGCCUGCAGUGGGUACGGGCAGACUAGAGUGCGGUAGGGGAGACUGGAAUUCCUGGUGUAGCGGUGGAAUGCGCAGAUAUCAGGAGGAACACCGGUGGCGAAGGCGGGUCUCUGGGCCGUUACUGACGCUGAGGAGCGAAAGCGUGGGGAGCAAACAGG
rnacentral:rRNA from 1 species